rnacentral:rRNA from 1 species
GACGAACGCUGGCGGCGUGCUUAACACAUGCAAGUCGAACGGAGUGGCGAACGGGUGAGUAACACGUGGGUGACCUGCCCUGCACUUCGGGAUAAGCCUGGGAAACUGGGUCUUAUACCUGAUAGUGUGGUAUGGGCCCGCGUCCUAUCAGCUUGUUGGUGGGGUAAUGGCCUACCGAUGCGGGGACGGGUAGCCGGCCUGAGAGGGUGGACGGCCACAUUGGGACUGAGGCACGGCCCAGAGUCCUACGGGCGGCAGCAGUGGGGAAUAUUGCACAAUGGGCGGAAGCCUGAUGCAGCGACGCCGCGUGGGGGAUGACGGCCUUCGGGUUGUAAACUCCUUUCACCAUCGACGCGGUAGAUGGAGAAGAAGCACCGGCUAACUACGUGCCAGCAGCCGCGGUAAUUC